AGUGAACGCUGGCGGUAGGCCUAACACAAGCAAGUCGAACGGCAGCACAGUAAGAGCUUGCUCUUACGGGUGGCGAGUGGCGGACGGGUGAGGAAUACAUCGGAAUCUACUUUUUCGUGGGGGAUAACGUAGGGAAACUUACGCUAAUACCGCAUACGACCUACGGGUGAAAGCAGGGGAUCUUCGGACCUUGCGCGAUUGAAUGAGCCGAUGUCGGAUUAGCUAGUUGGCGGGGUAAAGGCCCACCAAGGCGACGAUCCGUAGCUGGUCUGAGAGGAUGAUCAGCCACACUGGAACUGAGACACGGUCCAGACUCCUACGGGGGGCAGCAGUGGGGAAUAUUGGACAAUGGGCGCAAGCCUGAUCCAGCCAUACCGCGUGGGUGAAGAAGGCCUUCGGGUUGUAAAGCCCUUUUGUUGGGAAAGAAAAGCAGCAGGUUAAUACCCCGCUGUUCUGACGGUACCCAAAGAAUAAGCACCGGCUAACUUCGUG
rnacentral:rRNA from 1 species